rnacentral:misc_RNA from 1 species
UUUUCUACCAUAAUUACUAGGAGAAUUUACUAGUAGUCUAGUAGUUAAUAUUUCUCCAGCUCCUCCCUCAAUCUUCUCGUAGACGGAAAACGCAGGAAACCCUAGAGAUAUUCGCCGAGUUGCGAGCUUUGAGCAAUUAGCCACUUCUCAUGGGUACCCAAAAUGGAACCGGUGGGAUAAUUCAAGAAGGUGAUUUUUAUAUUUCACUCUGAGGGUCAAGGUGGUGUUCUUACACAUGGCGAUGAAUAUGGACGAAGUUGAAACUAAAGUUCCAAAGUGUGAGCUUAUUGUCAAGGAAGAUUCAAAAACCUGUAGGUGUAGUGAAUUGGAAGAAAGGAAUAAGAAGGUUGAAGAAAGGAUUGUAGAAUUGGAAUUGGAGCUGGAAAAAAGGAAGAAUGAGUUUGAAGUGCUUGAGGCUAAGUUCAAGGUACUAGAUGCUCAAAAGUGUGCUGUUGAAGAUGAACUAAUGGCUUUUAGGACGAGGAACAAUGAAGCUGGAGAAAGCAGAAUUUCUUUCGAUGAUGAAAAUAAGGCUAGUCAUAGAGGAGAGAAUAAGGGGGAUGUAGUUGUUGAUUUGACAGGGGAGGAAGGUGAAGAGGAUAUAGUAGAGCAGCUUGUGCUUGAAAACCAUGUUUUGGAAUGUGAAAAGAAAAAUGCUGAAAGUGAGGUUGAGAUUUGGAGAGAAAAGUUUAAAGCAUUGGAGUUGUGGGUUUCUCAGGUGGAUGGCAGUGCGGUCUUGAGUGGUGGGAAAAGACUAUCAAAUGACGUUCUUAAAGGUGAAAAUAGACCAGAUGUAAGUAUCAGCGUGGACCAACUGCAAAUUAACGAGAACAUGGUGGAUGUAGGGCCUACUUGCGGUACCCUGCUUAAAAUCACUGACGAGUUGCCUGCAGCUGGCACACCAUUUAAAGACAGCCCAUGUGGCCACACUCCUUUGGUGGAAAAGAAAGGAGUCUGUCUGAAAUCUGCAGGGGAAUGCACCAAAACAGUUAGUAGGCGGUUGUCAUUUGAAGACAAAAGCCCUAGCAAAAAGAUGGCUCCAUCAACCCCAGGCUGCAGCAAACCUGAUUGUCUUAAUGUGAUCAAUAUUUUUGAUAGCGAUGAUGAAUCUGAUUCAUGCGGUAUCCAAUUUUCUAUUUCAAAUGAUCAAGGAAAUAAAAAUGUCAUUUCAAUGGAUCAUGUGGUAGCUGGAACUCUGGAGGUUAAAAAAGACAAGAUUUCUGAUAACUUUUUAAAGAGGGCGGGUUGCAGUCAGGAUCACAAAGAAGAUUUAGAUGAUUGCAAAGAUAAUGUUCCAUAUAUUCCAACUCCCAAGAGAAAAAGAGCUGCUAAAAUUGUUACUAGUGACACCGAGAGUGAUGAAGAUGACAAUGUUCCAAUAUCCAAACUAAAGAAGUUAUAUCUUCAGGAAUUAGUCCCUGAUAUUGCAAAUUCUAAUGUGGAUAAUUCUUUUUCUGGCUCUCAUAUGAACGAUGCUGUCAAAGGUACUGUAACCCAUUCGAGGCGUCGUUUAGUGACUCUUAGGCAGUGUGAAGAAAAAGUUAAGGCCGAAAGGAGCUCUUCAAAUAAGAUCAGUGGAUCCAAAAAUGGACAAGGAAUUCCUACAACAGAUGAUGUUGAAGAUGGUGAAUCUGAGGAGGUUGGAUCAGACAGUGAGGGUGAGAGCUUGAAUGCAUUUAUCGUUGACAGCUCUGAUGUAUCUGAUGCUGAUAAUGCUUUCAGCCAGUCAGAAAAUACAUCAGAUGGCAAUGUGGAUUUUGAUGAGAUUUUGUCCAAACUUCAAAGAAGUAAGGAUCAUAAGUUCAAGUGGGAGUUAGAGGCAGACAUGCUCUCAGCCUUUGGUAAAGAUCUUGAGCUGUGUAUGAAAGCUGUAUGUGCUCUCUAUAGGCAGCAAACUUCUGAGGAACAAGUUAGCAAGGAAACAAUGUAUGAAAACAACCGAGGAUUUAGCAAAUUUGAUGCUCUCAGGGGAACUACAUUGGCGGAGUUUCUCACUGAUGGAGAUCCACAUGGUGAUCUAAAGAAAUCUGUCCAGCAGUUGAAAGAACGUGGUGCCCAUGCAGUUGAAUUGUGCAGAACAUUGGCUUCUCGCUAUUCUAAGCAAUUGUUUGAGAUUUACAAGAACAAGGAGGAUCCUCUUUUUCUCCCACGUUGACUGGCAUCUUAAUGACUGCAAUGAAUACAUUUGUAGUCCGAAGUACCUUUCUGGUAGAUGUGAAUUCCAGAGGAAGGCAUUUUGUUGUUUUUGCAUCCUCCAUCGUGUAAUGUUUGUUAAUAUUAGUUUACAAACUUAUGUAAAUACUGUUUAUCUUGGUAGGCUUGUAUCUAUAGAACUUGAAAGGUCCAGCACUAUGAUCUCUGUAAUUUGUGGGUUAUGCUUAGUAUUCCAUCAUAUCCUUCUGGUGGCGUUACUGUGACCAAGGGAAAUACUAAUGUGAUAAUGAUAGUCG